UGUAAGCGUAUACCAAAGUUGUUGCAGUUAAAACGCUCGUAGUCGGAAUUUGGCAGUUCCGGAUGUGUGCACGUCGUGUGCGCACUUCGCGGGGAUUGCUUUUGUGGUCUUGCGUAGGAUGAGGCACUUUUAUUAGUGAACGUCCUCACGCAACCACUUUUUACUGUGAGAAAAUCAGAGUGCACAAAGCAGGCAUUUGCCGUGAAUGUAUUAGCAUGGAAUAAUAGAAUAGGACUUGGUUCUAUUUUGUUGGUUUGUUGGGACUGAGUAAUGAUUAAGAGGGACAGUUGGGGGCAUUUGUAUUUCGGUGCUAGAGGUGAAAUUCUUAGAUUACCGAAAGACAAACUGCUGCGAAAGCGUCUGCCAAGGAUGUUUUCAUUGA
rnacentral:rRNA from 1 species